AUGCUAUGGGUCUGUUUCUAUUUUGUUGUGUCAAUAAGCGGAGAAUUGGAAAGGCUUUGGUUUCCAGAGCUGGAAAUGAAUUGCGGCUGCCCAGAACCAGAAGAACCUGUGACAGCCAUAUUCUCUUUCAAAAAUGUAGGGUUUGGUUCAUAUCAGGGCUAUUGGGAAGCAAAGGCAAAAGGAAAACACCAAGAUGAUAUGAAGUUGGAACAAAGACGCAUAACACGAAGUUUUGGAAGCUUGAAGUUUGAAACAUGA